GGAUGGGUGGCCGAGUGGUCGAAGGCGGUAGUCUUGAAAACUACUGUAGGGCAACCUACCCUGGGUUCGAAUCCCAGCCCAUCCG
rnacentral:tRNA from 2 species